GGACACCAGGAAUCUGAGCAAGAGAGAGGGAGCACUCCAUCCCACCACGAGGAGCUUUGGACAGGAGGAUGUGCUGACGCGGUCUGAGGGCUGACCAUGGGCAGGCGACACUCUGCUCAUUUUACAGAUGAGUUUCUAGCAGCUUAAAGCUUGUCAAGGCCACACUGUCAAGAGCACAGCCAGGAGGAGAACGGAACCUGUCCUAGUCCCAUCAGCCGUUCUGGCCUAGCAGAAGAGAGAGAUGGUAAUCAGACCGUGUGGAGCUGUAGUUGAUGAAUACUUUCAACAACAAGGGCCYGGAGCCACGCAGUGCCAGCAUCGUGAACCCAGAGACCAGAGGCUGAGGUCAGCCCACAUGAACGAACCCCAGCGAAAACUUUCCCCAAGGCUCCGGUGAGCUUCCUGGUUGGUWGUACUCCAUGUGUGUGGUCACACAGUUUCCAGAGGCUAGUGCUUUACACAAUCCCAYGGGAAAGGACAACUGGAAGCUCCAUCUGUGAACCCACCUGGACUCUGCCCCUCUUUCCUCAGCUUMAUUUAACCUGUAUCAUUUCAUUGUAAUAAAUCUCAAUUGUGAUUACAACA